GCCUAGAUUGCUUGGUUGGUAGCGCGUCUGCCUUGUAAGCGCUAGGCCGCGGGUUCGAUUCCCGCCCGGGGCG
rnacentral:tRNA from 1 species